rnacentral:tRNA from 1 species
UAGACCUUUAGUCUAGUGGCUAAGGUGCAUGACUGAGACUCUUGAGGUUGGUGGUUCAAGCCCCAGUCCAG